AUUGAACGCUGGCGGCAGGCCUAACACAUGCAAGUCGAACGAGUGGCGGACGGGUGAGUAAUGUCUGGGAAACUGCCUGAUGGAGGGGGAUAAAUACUGGAAACGGUAGCUAAUACCACAUACCAUCAGCUGUGCCCAGAUGGGAUUAGCUAGUUGGUGGGGUAAAGGCUCACCUAGGCGACGAUCCCUAGCUGGUCUGAGAGGAUGACCAGCCACACUGGAACUGAGACACGGUCCAGACUCCUACGGUAGGCAGCAGUGGGGAAUAUUGCACAAUGGGCGCAAGCCUGAUGCAGCCAUGCCGAGUGUAUGAAGAAGGCCGUCGGGUUGUAAAGUACUUUCAGCGAGGAGGCGUUACCCGCAGAAGAAGCACCGGCUAACUCCGUGCCAGCCGCCGCGGUAAUAC
rnacentral:rRNA from 1 species